GGUAAGAACCUUCUAGGCUGCUUACUGCCCUUGGAAGCACCAGGGUGGGGGGAAAGAAGACUUCAACAGCCUGCCACCGUAAGUUGCGCCUCUGAGAGCUGCUGUCGCUGAGGGAGGCUGAGCAGGAGCCCCUGACCUUCUCCACAGCUCCCAGGGGACACAGCCUGUGGCCCCUCCUGAGCGCCCCUCCCCGCCCGCCUUUGGCCUCAGCCCUCUCUGCAGCACGCGGCGGCGCGCACACCCCGUCCUGGGUGAACUCCCCAGGGUGAAGCCCUAAAGGCAACUGAGAAGGCUUUAAAAAACAAAUCCCCGUGAUCCAUGUGGAGGGGAACAAAAACCCCACAAAAAACAAAAAACAAAACCAAACCCAGCAACGUUUGAGUAGCAUCUCGGGCACUGCUGGUGGUGCGCGGCAGAAACGAACGAAAUCUUCAGGCGGUCAGUCCCGAGCGUCUCUACCACGGAAAACAAUGAGGAAACGUUUCUCUCGCCUUUGUUUGUGGGGAAUUUCGUAAGAAUUCCCAUCUCUCUGCGGCUAUUUUCAGGCUGUCCUCUUGGCCGCAUGCAAAUCCCGAGCCGCGCGCUAGAGGUCGCUGUUCAUCACAAUCCGACUUCGCCUCCGGUGAGGUCCGCCCGCCUCACGUCUUCACCGUGGGGGGAGCGACCAGCGGGCUCUGGCGGCAGGAAAAUCUGCUGGGUCCCGCCCAGGCCAGGUGACCCAACAAGCAAUUUGAAGAAGGUACGAUAAGAACGACUUGAACAAAGGCCAGGGUUUCAAUACAGGCCAUACCUGCGGCUAGCUACUACCACUGGGUGGUGGACCUGGGCUGAGAGCACCUGGGGUAGGGAAGCAGACAGGAGCCUGGCUCUGCUGAGGGGACCGCCCCCCUGCAGCCGAGGUGCUGUUGCUGAGUUGGAGCGGAAGACAGGAACCACCAACAGUGCAGCAGCAGGGGGCGAAUCUGCACACUUCCAUUGUGGCCGUAAAAUAUACAUAACAUGGUAUUUACCAUUGUGAUCCUUUUUACGUGUGCAACGCAGUGGCAUUGAGUAGAUCCACAUUCUCAUGCAACUGUCUCCUCUGUCCAUCUCCAGAACCUCUUCCUCAUCCUAAACAGAAACUCUGCACCCAUUAAGCAGCGGCCCCUUCCCCUCUCCUCCCAGCCCCUGGGAACCUUCAUUUUACUUUCUGUAGCUAUGAAUUUGCCUAUUCUUUUUUUUUUUUAAAGAUUUUAUUUAUUUAUUUGAGAGAGAGAGAAUGAGAGAGAGAGAGCACAUGAGAGGGCUUAGGGUCAGAGGGAGAAGCAGACUCCCUGCCGAGCAGGGAGCCCGAUGCGGGACUCGAUCCCAGGACUCCAGGAUCAUGACCUGAGCCGAAGGCAGUCGCUUAACCAACUGAGCCACCCAGGCGCCCCUGAAUUUGCCUAUUCUACGUACCUCGUGUAAGUGAAAUCAUGCAAUAGGUGUCCUUUUGUGACUGGUUUAUUUUAUGCAGCAUAAUGUCCUCGAGGUUCCUCCAUGUUGUAGUAUGGGUCAGAACUCCAUUCCUUUCUAAGGCUGAAUAAUAUUCCAUUGUAUGGAUAUAUGACAUUUUGCUUAUUCAUUCAUCUGUAGAUGGACUUUUGGGUUGUUUCCACUUUUUGGUUAUUGUGAAUAAAGCUGCUCUGAACAUCGGUGUACAAGUAUCUUUUUAGGUUCUUACUUUCGGUUCUCUUGGGUAUAUAUCUAGGAGU